GGGUCCUGGAUAGUGAGGCCUGGUCAUUGGGGUCCUGGCACAGACCCAGGCCCAGGGGAUGCCCAAUGCUGGGAGGAGGCUCAGACAGCAGGAAGGAGAGAAGGAAGGAAGGAACUUCCGUAGUACCGAUGCCUACAAAAUUACAACACGUGGUGCUGUUUCUACUCCAUCACCAUGUUCGCUCUUUAUUUCCUAUAAAUUAUCCUUGAACCAGAAAAAAAAAUCCCCAAUUCAACACUCCAUUUUUGUGAAGAGCUGGUUCCGAAUUCUGGGUCACUUUUUGGAAAAAAUAUCUGUUGUGGUAAACAGUGCUGCAUCUGUGAUCUCAAGUCUCUACUGGAAUUGGAUAGAGAUGGUGAAUUUCAGCCAGAGCGCCCAAAGAACUCGUGUCCCGCGCUCCUGAACGCCAUCAGCCGCCGCACCUCCAUCUUCCCUCCUCCCACGAGUCUCCUGCUCCCCGUGACUCUGGCCUCCUCGCAGUGUUGCUGGGCCACGUCAGGAAGUGCUGGAGGACGUGGCAUUGCACCAACACCAGGCGGCCAGCCGUGUGGCUCAUCCCGCAAAUCAGGCUCUUCCUGUGCAUGGAGAUGGAGUCCCUCUGGAGGCAGCCCGUGGCCCUGUUCUCGGGCAGGUGGAGCAUGGAGACGACUGGGAACUUCACUAGACACGCAUCCAGCCGGUUCAAGGGCUUGUCGCGCCGUGCACCAGCUUGCAGGAGAAAGCCCAACGCCUCGCCAAGCACGAAGGCCUCCCUUCCCGACUUGAUGAAGGCAGAGUAGCGGUUGAGGUUGCGGCUCACAGUGACCGAGCUCCUGCCCACGUGGGGACCCAGGGAGCCGUCGAGCUCCAGGUAUGCACCUCUGCCCAGUGCACCUGGAUCGUUCACCGUCAUGGAGCUGCCAUCCCACUUGUCGUCCCAGUCAUCAUCACUGCCCUAGCUGGCCUAGUUGCCACCAAGGAGCUGCUGAGGCCACGGCUUCAGGGCAUCCCUACCGCCUGGAAAUCCUGCGCUGGCUGCUGGAAGGCACUCUGUGGUGGCACCAGCUGCGGCUGCAGUAGCAGCUGGAAAGCACUGAGAGAUGGCUUCAAGGAGGCAGGCAGUGCACCGGGCAGGGCCUUGAAACCUCUGGGUGGUACAAUGGCCAUGGCACAGUGGGUCAAGGCACAGGGGCAGCCAUGGCGCGCUGGGCCAGUCCAGGGUUGCAGACCACU
ensembl:lncRNA LINC00905 long intergenic non-protein coding RNA 905